rnacentral:rRNA from 1 species
CCUACGGGUGGCUGCAGUGGGGAAUAUUGGACAAUGGGCGAAAGCCUGAUCCAGCCAUGCCGCGUGUGUGAAGAAGGCCUUCGGGUUGUAAAGCACUUUCAGUGGGGAAGAAAGCCUUGGGGCUAAUACCCUCGAGGAAGGACAUCACCCACAGAAGAAGUACCGGCUAACUCCGUGCCAGCAGCCGCGGUAAUACGGAGGGUGCGAGCGUUAAUCGGAAUUACUGGGCGUAAAGCGCGCGUAGGCGGUCUGAUAAGCCGGUUGUGAAAGCCCCGGGCUCAACCUGGGAACGGCAUCCGGAACUGUCAGGCUAGAGUGCAGGAGAGGAAGGUAGAAUUCCCGGUGUAGCGGUGAAAUGCGUAGAGAUCGGGAGGAAUACCAGUGGCGAAGGCGGCCUUCUGGACUGACACUGACGCUGAGGUGCGAAAGCGUGGGUAGCAAACAGGAUUAGAUACCCCAGUAGUC